GAAUAAACGUAUAGCAACGCUCGUAUAAUAGUGGGGAUUGGCCCACGAGUCUCUACCGGAUCGCCGUAACGAUCCGACUACGGGUGGUGAGUUACUGCUC
rnacentral:ncRNA from 19 species